CAUUGAAGCCGGUUGGCAGGUGAGCCCAGAAUUGUAUGGGGAUAACAACACCAGACUCUUCACCUACUGGACUAGUGAUGCAUAUCAAGCAACAGGCUGUUACAACCUUCUGUGCUCAGGGUUUAUUCAAAUCAACAAUGAGAUUGCAAUGGGUGCCAGCAUCUC